rnacentral:rRNA from 1 species
UGAGUAACGCGUAAUCAACCUGCCCCUUCAGAGGGGGACAACAGUUGGAAACGACUGCUAAUACCGCAUACGAUCUAACCUCGGCAUCGAGGAAAGAUGAAAGGUGGCCUCUAUUUAUAAGCUAUCACUGAAGGAGGGGAUUGCGUCUGAUUAGCUAGUUGGAGGGGUAACGGCCCACCAAGGCGAUGAUCAGUAGCCGGUCUGAGAGGAUGAACGGCUACAUUGGGACUGAGACACGGCCCAGACUCCUACGGGAGGCAGCAGUGGGGAAUCUUCCGCAAUGGACGAAAGUCUGACGGAGCAACGCCGCGUGAGUGAUGACGGCCUUCGGGUUGUAAAGCUCUGUUAAUCGGGACGAAAGGCCUUCUUGCGAAUAGUUAGAAGGAUUGAC